rnacentral:ncRNA from 2 species
AAUAAAGAAUACAUGCCUACUCAUAUAAUCCCGAUAAUAUGGUUCGGGAGUCUCUACCGGGGGCCGUAAACCUCCGACUAUGAGUGAGGUUGCUUUGCGU